rnacentral:rRNA from 1 species
GACGAACGCUGGCGGCGUGCCUAACACAUGCAAGUCGAACGGAAAGGCCCAGCUUUUUUGGGGUGCUCGAGUGGCGAACGGGUGAGUUGCCCGUGAGUAAGCUGCCCUUGACUGUAGGAUAUCCUCAGACAGCUGGGGCUAAUACCGGCUAGGAGCUCCUGCUGCAUGGUGGGGGUUGGAAAGUUUCGGCGGUUGGGGGUGGACUGGCGGCUUAUUAGCUUGUUGGGUGGGUAGUGGCUUACCAAGGCUUUGACGGGUGGCCGGCCUGGGAGGGUGAACGGCGACAUUAGGCCUGAGAUACGGCCCAGACUGCAAUGGGAGGCAGCAGUGGAGAGUAUUACACAGUGGGCGGGAGCCUGAUGCAGCAACGCCGCGUGCGGGAAGACGGCCAUCGGGUUGGAAAGCGCAGUCGCCUGUGACGAAGCGUGAGUGACGGUAAUGGGUGAAGAAGCACCGGCUAACUCCGUG